CCUACGGGUGGCAGCAGUGGGGAAUAUUGCACAAUGGGGGAAACCCUGAUGCAGCGACGCCGCGUGAGUGAAGAAGUAUUUCGGUAUGUAAAGCUCUAUCAGCAGGGAAGAAAAUGACGGUACCUGAUUAAGAAGCCCCGGCUAACUACGUGCCAGCAGCCGCGGUAAUACGUAGGGGGCAAGCGUUAUCCGGAUUUACUGGGUGUAAAGGGAGCGUAGACGGCAGCACAAGUCUGGAGUGAAAUGCCGGGGCUUAACCCCGGAACUGCAUUGGAAACUGUGCAGCUAGAGUGCAGGAGAGGAAAGUGGAAUUCCAAGUGUAGCGGUGGAAUGCGUAGAUAUUAGGAGGAACACCAGUGGCGAAGGCGGCUUACUGGACUGUAACUGACGUUGAGGCUCGAAAGCGUGGGGAGCGAACAGGAUUAGAUACCCUUGUAGUC
rnacentral:rRNA from 1 species